CUGGCGGCGUGCCUAAUACAUGCAAGUCGAACGGUCUUUCUAUGGAAGGCUUGCUUCCACUGAGAAGAUAGUGGCGGACGGGUGAGUAACACGUGGGUAACCUGCCCAUAAGAGGGGGAUAACAUCCGGAAACGGGUGCUAAUACCGCAUAGUUUUCUUGAUCGCAUGAUUGAGAAAGGAAAGACGGCCUUUGUGCUGUCGCUUAUGGAUGGACCCGCGGCGUAUUAGUUAGUUGGUGAGGUAAUGGCUCACCAAGACGAUGAUACGUAGCCGACCUGAGAGGGUGAUCGGCCACAUUGGGACUGAGACACGGCCCAGACUCCUACGGGAGGCAGCAGUAGGGAAUCUUCCGCAAUGGACGAAAGUCUGACGGAGCAACGCCGCGUGAGUGAAGAAAGGUUUUCGGAUCGUAAAACUCUGUUGUCAGAGAAGAACAAGUUGGAGAGUAACUGCUCCAGCCUUGACGGUAUCUGACCAGAAAGCCACGGCUAACUACGUGCCAGCCGCUGC
rnacentral:rRNA from 1 species